GAAUAUAGUAGUUUUAGUGUUAAAAUUAGUUUUAUAGCAUUUUUUUACAUUUCGGUUUUCUCUUCUUUCAGCUGGUUGAUAGUGAAUACUAAAACAUGAAAAUGGUGUGUCUGUAAGAUAAAAAUCAUAGAACUUAGUCUAAAGAAGUGGUGAGAAAGAUUGUGGCGGUGAUGGUUAUCAUAAAGGUAGUGAAGGUGAGUAUGGUGGUGUUGCUAAAGUGACGAUGGAUUCAAAAUAUGUAAAAAGGCUACGGAGUUGGUGGUGCUCGUGGUGGUUACAAAGAAAGUGAUGGGCCUGUAGAAGAAACAAUUGUCUUUUGUAAC
rnacentral:lncRNA from 1 species